GUCAGUGACCCGGGGUGUCCGCCGUCCGGCGGGCUGAGAACACACCCGUCGAACCUGUCCAGGUCAUGCUGGCGAAGGGACGUCACGGUGGAUGCCG
rnacentral:ncRNA from 2 species